UCAGUUUGAAUGCAUGGGAGAGCCCAGAGCAGUGACGGGAACAGAGGGAAAGGCCUCGCCCUCAGGAAAAGGGACUGAGUAGAGUGUGGUGAAGUGGGGGCUUCCAUAGCCUGGGGUGCCAAAGUGGGGACCUGGGGGCAGAGGAAAGGAUACAGCCCCCCCUGGGAAAGGCCGAUCAAACAGAGUGAGUGAGGCAGCAAGAAGGGAGCCCAAGCCCCCACCUCUGACAGUUCAAGCUACAAGCGUCUAAUCCUCCCUUACCUGUGGAGAAGCAGCUCCUAAGAUGCCCCACCCCCUUGCGCCUACAUUAAGAGCCGUGAGAUCAGAACAUGCUGGGGGAGACCCACCAAAGAGAACGCCCAGGGUGAGCCCCACGUCGGCCUGGGUGUACCCCAAGGUGAUCCUCUUCUGCUUCAGCAGCUUGGCAAACUGUUCUAGCUCCUUCUGCAGGGCUUUCAUGUCCUGGGACUGUAGUGAGAAAGGCAGACUUGUCA
rnacentral:lncRNA from 1 species